UAUAACUAGUUUUUACCAUGGAUAAUUUCAUGAAUUCUGAACACUAGAGCCUAGUCUAAAAAUCAUAGGAUAUUGUGAAAAAGACGCAUAUUCUAUUUAUCUAUAAUCAUUAGAAAGUUAAAGGGCAUUUUCUUUCAUUAGCAGUGUUAACAGUAGUUUUUUCUUCCCCAUCGGUAAUGCUAAAAGUUGCUAUUGUAAGUCUAUCCACCACUAAUUUAAGACAACUCUGCUGGGUUGCGUUAUUUCAUACUAGUUUAUUUAGGAGUUCCAUUUUCACUCCUCAAUAGAUUUUAUGUAUUUCUCAUAAGCUUCUUCACUCAUAAGUUCAUCUAGUUCUGAAGGGUUACUCAGUGUCAUCUUGAUCUGCCAACCAUCUUCAUAACAAGAUUUGUUUACAAGUCCUGGAUUUUCUGCAAGAGCUUCAUUAAUUUCAGUUACUUCUCCUGAUAAAGGAGAACAGAGUUCACUAGCAGCUUUCACACUUUCCAAAGCACCAAACUCAUCUUGUUUGUUCAAUUUUGUCCCAACUUCAGGCAGACUAUAGUAAACAACAUCUCCCAAAGCUUCCUGUGCCA
rnacentral:lncRNA from 1 species